rnacentral:rRNA from 1 species
UCGUCCAGGGGGCCGCCUUCGCCACCGGUAUUCCUCCAGAUCUCUACGCAUUUCACCGCUACACCUGGAAUUCUACCCCCCUCUACGAGACUCAAGCUUGCCAGUAUCAGAUGCAGUUCCCAGGUUGAGCCCGGGGAUUUCACAUCUGACUUAACAAACCGCCUGCGUGCGCUUUACGCCCAGUAAUUCCGAUUAACGCUUGCACCCUCCGUAUUACCGCGGCUGCUGGCACGGAGUUAGCCGGUGCUUCUUCUGCGGGUAACGUCAAUGAGCAAAGGUAUUAACUUUACUCCCUUCCUCCCCGCUGAAAGUACUUUACAACCCGAAGGCCUUCUUCAUACACGCGGCAUGGCUGCAUCAGGCUUGCGCCCAUUGUGCAAUAUUCCCCACUGCUGCCUCCCGUAGGAGUCUGGACCGUGUCUCAGUUCCAGUGUGGCUGGUCAUCCUCUCAGACCAGCUAGGGAUCGUCGCCUAGGUGAGCCGUUACCCCACCUACUAGCUAAUCCCAUCUGGGCACAUCCGAUGGCAAGAGGCCCGAAGGUCCCCCUCUUUGGUCUUGCGACGUUAUGCGGUAUUAGCUACCGUUUCCAGUAGUUAUCCCCCUCCAUCAGGCAGUUUCCCAGACAUUACUCACCCGUCCGCCACUCGUCAGCGAAGNAGCAAGCUGCUUCCUGUUACCGUUCGACUUGCAUGUGUUAG